GAUGAACGCUGGCGGCGUGCCUAAUACAUGCAAGUCGAGCGAACAGACGAGGAGCUUGCUCCUCUGACGUUAGCGGCGGACGGGUGAGUAACACGUGGAUAACCUACCUAUAAGACUGGGAUAACUUCGGGAAACCGGAGCUAAUACCGGAUAAUAUAUUGAACCGCAUGGUUCAAUAGUGAAAGACGGUUUUGCUGUCACUUAUAGAUGGAUCCGCGCCGCAUUAGCUAGUUGGUAAGGUAACGGCUUACCAAGGCAACGAUGCGUAGCCGACCUGAGAGGGUGAUCGGCCACACUGGAACUGAGACACGGUCCAGACUCCUACGGGAGGCAGCAGUAGGGAAUCUUCCGCAAUGGGCGAAAGCCUGACGGAGCAACGCCGCGUGAGUGAUGAAGGUCUUCGGAUCGUAAAACUCUGUUAUUAGGGAAGAACAAGUGUGUAAGUAACGAUGCACGUCUUGACGGUACCUAAGCAGAAAGCCACGGCUAACUACGU
rnacentral:rRNA from 1 species